UUCAUGGGGACCAAAGAAUUGGGAAACGAUUUCGGCUCGUUUUUUGAAGAUAACUUCCCCCAUGU
rnacentral:tRNA from 1 species